CCUACGGGAGGCUGCAGUGGGGAAUAUUGCACAAUGGGGGGAACCCUGAUGCAGCGACGCCGCGUGAGUGAAGAAGUAUUUCGGUAUGUAAAGCUCUAUCAGCAGGGAAGAAAGAAAUGACGGUCGCUGACUAAGCAGUCCCUGCUAACUACGUGCCAGCUGCCGCGGUAAUACGUAGGGGGCAAGCGUUAUCCGGAUUUACUGGGUGUAAAGGGAGCGUAGACGGGGAUGCAAGUCUGAAGUGAAAGGCUGGGGCCCAACCCCUGAACUGCUUUGGAAACUGCAUGGCUGGAGUGCAGGAGAGGUAAGUGGAAUUCCUAGUGUAGCGGUGAAAUGCGUAGAUAUUAGGAGGAACACCAGUGGCGAAGGCGGCUUACUGGACUGUAACUGACGUUGAGGCUCGAAAGCGUGGGGAGCAAACAGGAUUAGAUACCCGAGUAGUC
rnacentral:rRNA from 1 species